GACAGAGGGUGCAAACGUUUUUUUUUUUUUUUUUUUUUUGUUCGGAAUUUACUUGGGCGUAAAGCGUGUGUAGGUGGCUGCGAAAGUCGGAUGUGAAAGCCCUGGGCUCAACUCAGGAAGUGCACCCGAUACUGCGUAGCUCGAGUACCGGAGAGGUUGGUAGAAUUUCUCGGUGUAGAGGUGAAAUUCGUAGAUAUCGAGAGGAAUACCUGUGGCGAAGGCGGCCAACUGGACGAGUACUGACACUGAGACGAAA
rnacentral:rRNA from 1 species